rnacentral:rRNA from 1 species
AGAGUUUGAUCCUGGCUCAGAAUCAACGCUGGCGGCGUGCCUCAGACAUGCAAGUCGAACGCGAAAGUUCCCUUCGGGGAGCAAGUAGAGUGGCGCACGGGUGAGUAACACGUAGGUAAUCUACCUUUGGAUGGGGAAUAACACCGAGAAAUCGGUGCUAAUACCGCAUAAUGCAGCGGCACCUAAUGGUGACAGUUGUUAAAGCGGGGGAUCGUAAGACCUCGCGUCUAAAGAGGAGCCUGCGGCGGAUUAGCUAGUUGGUAAGGUAACGGCUUACCAAGGCGAUGAUCCGUAACCGGCCUGAGAGGGCGGUCGGUCACACUGACACUGACAUACGGGUCAGACUCCUACGGGAGGCAGCAGUCGGGAAUUUUGGGCAAUGGGCGAAAGCCUGACCCAGCAACGCCGCGUGAAGGAUGAAAUCCCUCGGGAUGUAAACUUCGCAAGAACGGGAAGAAUAAGUUGGUGUGAAUAUCACCAGCGAUGACGGUACCGUUUGUAAGCUCCGGCUAACUCCGUGCCAGCCGCCGCGGUAAUUC